UGAAAAUUCUUAAAGAAAAAUUUGGCUGUCCAGUAACAGGAGGUCGGAAAAGUACGGCAUUGUCAGAAAAGGAAGAAGUUCAACCACGCAAGAAAAGGCAAAAGCUCAAGGUUGAUUUGGAGGGACAUGAAGAUGAUGAGGUGACUACACGCGCCCACAUAGAUGCACUGAAUGCAGAAUUGAGAAAAGGGUCACCUGAUCUUGCAGUGAUUGCUGUAAAAAUGGACAGAACAUUUGUCUACCGUUGGAAAAGGAUCAACGAUCAACGUUUGUCAGUGGCUGACAUCAUCUCAGAGUUUCCAGCCCUGAGGCGAAGAAAUUUUCUUGCAGGGGAAGCUGAACGACAUGGUAUUUUGAAGCCCCUUGAAAACUCUUACCUCCAACUCCAUACAUCACUACUUGAGUUGAUGAAGUAUACCAAGUCCCGUUGCAAAGGUUACUAAGAGUACUUCUCAAAAUACCAAGAGGACUUGGACAGCAGUCUGAAUGAAGAUAAAAGAAUCGAAUGUGGCCUGCAGUUUGCUGUGCAACUUCUGCCAUCGCUUUUUAGAGAGGAUGCGACGUAUCUACUCGCUGAUUCGAAUGAGGAAAU